rnacentral:lncRNA from 1 species
CUUGGUUACCAACUAUUUUAGUUGUAUUUUGUAUAGUACUAUAUUAUAAAUCUAUGUUCACAUCUAACACAGGCAUGAGUGGAAGGCAGGCAUACAACAUCCUCUUAAACACUUCUAUUAAUGGAGUAUUCAGCACAUCACAAAGUAGCUUUAUGGAUAGCUUGGCUUCUGAAUUUUUUUAAACUAUUAAGUAACAUUAAUAAUUUCCUUUAUUCUAUGUGCACAGAACACCGGCAAUAAAGAUUUCAUUCAUUUACUCAAAAAUAUUUACUGGUUGCCUUUUUGGGGACAGGUACUUUAUGACUUUAUGACAUAGUUACAAUGGUAAAGUAACAAAAUUUCAUUUCAUACCAUCAAGUGUUUAAAAUUAAAAUAAGUAUUUUAGAUGUAGAUAAAUAUGUUUUUCUAAAAAUCACCAAACAGGAUAUAAGUAAUUUAUUUGAUCAUGGCAUUUUAUCACAUACUAUAACAAGAUCUAUUUAUCACAUACUAUAACAAGAUCUAUUCCCAGUAUCUAGAAAGCAAGCCAACGGGCCGGGCGCAGUGGCUCACGUCUGUAAUCCGAGCACUUUGGGAGGCCGAGGUAGGUAGAUUAUGAGCACAAGAGAUCGAGACCAUCCUGGCAAACAUGGUGAAAUCCUGUCUCUACUAAAAAUAAAAAAAUUAGCUGGGGGUGGUUGGCGUGCGACUGUAGUCCCAGCUACUCGGCAGGCUGAGGCAGGAGAAUUACUUGAACCUGAGAGGGGGAGGUUGCAGUGAGCUGAGAUUGCACCACUGCACUCCAGCCUGGUGACAGAGGGAGACUCGGUCUCAAAAAAAAAAAAAAAAAAAAAAAAAGACAGCCACCGAACUGUAAACCAAUUAAAUUGGGAGUAGAACUGGAAGAGUGUGAUUUAUUACCUUGUUUAUAGCCUGAAUGUCUUAAAAAAUGGGUCCCAACUCAAACUUUACAAUUAUCCAUUUAGUGUCAUAAAAUUCUAUAAGUCAAAUAUUAAAAUUGAUCUAUAAGUCUAUUCCCUUUAAAAAAGCCUAUUCCCUGAAGCUCUUACAAAAAUGAAGUAAUAAAGGUAUAUGUUUAACAUGUAUUUAUUUAUUUAUUUGAGGGUUGUGCUUUGUCACCUAGGCUGGAGUGCAGUGGCAUGAUCAUGGCUCACUGCAACCUCUACCUCCUGGGCUCAAGCAAUCCUCCCACCUCAGCCUCCUGAGUAGUUGGGACUACAGGUGUGCGCCAGCACACCUGGCUAAUUUUUGUAUUUUUUGUAGAGAUGCAGUUUCGCCAUGUUGCCUAGGCUAGUCUCAAACACCUGGACUCACCCAAUAAGCCUGACUUGGCCUCUCCAAGUGUUGGGAUUACAGGCAUGAGCCACCACACCCAGCUGGAAAAUGUUUAAAAUUUAUUAAGUGAAAAGUAACUCAUGCUGCAAUGAACGUACUAUGUAAAAAUGUAUGUAUGUGGAACAGGGAAAAAUAUAAACAGUCACAGAAAUGUGUUUAGGUUGGUAGCAUUCUUUUUCCUCUUAAAAAUUCCUUUUUUUGGCCGGGCGCUGUGGCUCACACCUGUAAUCCCAGCACUUUGGGAAGCCGCGGUGGACAGAUCACAAGGUCAGGAGAUCAAGACCAUCCUGGCUAACAUGGUGAAACCCCGUCUCUACUAAAAAUACAAAAAAUUAGCUGGGCAUGGAGGCACUCGCCUGUAGUCGCAGCUACUCGGGAGGCUGAGGCAGGAGAAUCGCUUGAACUGGGGAGAUGGAGGUUGUAGUGAGCCCAGAUCAUGCCACUGCACUCAAGCCUGGGCUGAGACCUCCAGAGUCUGGCUGAGACCUAUGGAGUCUCACUCUGUCACCUAGGCUGGAGUACAGUGGUGCGAUCUCGGCACACUGCAACCUCCACCUCCCAGACAUUCUCCUGCCUCAGCCUCUCAACUAGCUGGGAUUACAUUCGCCCGCCUCCACACCCACUAAUUUUUGUAUUUUUAGUAGAGAUGCGGUUUCCCCAUGUUGGCCAGGCUGUUCUUGAACUCCUGACCUCAAGUUAUACGCCCACUUUGGACUCCCAAAGUGCUGGGAUUACAGGUGUGAGCCACGGCACCAGCCAAAAAUUUCUUUAAAUAUUAGUGGUAUAUUAUUCUCUCAAUAAGUUUUUUUUUUUUUUUUUUUUGAGACAGUCUUGUUUUAUUGCCUAAGCUGGAGUGCAGUGGCACAAUCUCAACUCACUGCAACCUCCACCUCCCAGGUUUAUUUUUUUUCUCAUGCCUCAGCCUCCCAAGAAGCUGGGAUUACAGGCAUGUGCCCCAAAGGCCAGUUAAGUUUUCUUUUUCUUUUUUUCUUUUUUCUUGGUUGAGACGGAUUUUCGCUCGUCACCCACACUGGAGUGCAAUGGCGCGAUCUCGGCUCACUGCAACCUCCGACUCUUGGGUUCAAGCGAUUCUCCUGCCUCAGCCUCCCGAGUAGCUGGGAUUAGAGGCACCUGUCACCACGCCCGCUACUUUUGGUAUUUUUAGUAGAGAUGGAGUUUCACCACGUUGGCCAGGCUGAUCUCAAACUCCUGGCCUCAAGUGAUUCACCUGCCUUGGCCUCCCAAAGUGCUGGAAUUACAGGCCCGGCCUAUUUUUGCAAUAAUUAUGAAUAGCACACCAUUUAAACCUGUUGAUUGAGCCCUCCUUAAAUAACUAAAUACACUACUGGCCAACAUGGUGAAAACCUGUCUCCACUAAAAACACAAAAAAAUGGCCGGGCACAGUGGCUCAUGCCUGUAAUCCCAGCACUUCAGGAGGCCAAGGGGUGUGAAUCACCUGAGGUUAGGAGUUCAAGACCAGCCUGGCCAACAUGGUGAAACCCUGUCUCUACUAAAAAAAAAUACAAAAAUUAGCUGAGUGUAGUGGCACAUACCCGUAGUCUCAGCUACUCAGGAGGCUGAGGCAGGAGAAUUGCUUGAACCUGGGAGGCAGGGGUUGCAGUGAGCCAAGAUCGUGCCACCACACUCCAGCCUGGGUGACACAGCGAGACUCCAUCUCAAAAUAAAUAAAUAAAUAAAAAGAAAGGGACCGAGCGCGGUGGCUCAUGCUUGUAAUCCCAGCACUCUGGGAGGCUGAGUUGGGCAGAUCACAAGGUCAAGAGUUCAGGACCAGCCUGACCAACACGGUAAAACCCCAUCUCUACUAAAAAUACAAAAAUGAGCUGGGUGUGAUGGCACGCGCCUGUAACCCCAGUUACUCAAAAGGCUGAGACUACAGGCGCACGCCAGCAUGUCCAGAUAAUUUUUUGUAUUUUUAGUAGAGAUGGGGUUUCACCAUGUUGGCCAGGAUGGUCUCAAAUCUCUUGACCUCGUGAUCUGCCCAUGUCGGCUUCCCAAAGUGUUAGGAUAACAGGCAUGAGCUACCGUGCCCAGCCUACUUAAAAUAUUCUUGAAAUAGCUCUCCCCACCUCCUUUUUUUUUUUUUUUUGAGAAUGAGUUUCACUCGACACCCAGGCUGGAGUGCAGUGGUGCGAUCUUGGCUCACUGCAACCUCUGCCUCCCAGGUUCAAGCGAUUAUCCUGCCUCAGCCUCCUGAGUAGCUGGGAUUACAAAUGUGCACCACCACAUCUGGCUAAUUUUUUUUUUUUUUUUUUGUAUUUUUAGUAGAGACGGGGUUUCACCAAGUUGGCCUGGCUGGUCUCGAACACCUGACCUCAAUUGAUCCACCUGCCUCGGCCUCCCAAAGUAUUAUAGGCAUGAGCCACCGAGCCCGGCCUUUUUUGUUUUUUGUUUUUUUAAAGGCAGGGUUUUGCUCUGUUGCCCAGGCUGGAGUGCAGUGGUGUGAUCACAGAUCACUGCAGCCUUGACCUCUCCUGGUCUCAAGUGAUCCUCCCACCUCAGCCUUCAGAACAGCUGGGACUACAGGUGUGUGUCACCAUGCCCAGUAAUUUUUUUGUAUAUUUGUAGAGGCAGGGUCUCCCAAUGUUGCCUGGGCUGGUCUCAAACUCCUGGGCUCAAGCAAUCCACCAGCUUUGGCCUUCCAAAGUUCUAGGAUUAUACGCAUGAGCCACUGUGCCCUGCCCCAAUAUUUUGUUACUUACUAGUGAGACUAAACACUUUUCUAAAAGUUUGUUAGCCAUACUAUCCUAUAAAAGCUGUUUGUUCAUGUCUUUUGUCCAUUUAUCUUUUUUUUUGUUUUUCUUGAGACAGAGUCUUGCUCUGUGGCCCAGGCUGGAGUGCAGGGGUGCAAUCUCGGCUCACUGCAAGCUCCGCCUCCCAGGUUCAAAUGAUUCUCCUGCCUCAGCCUCCUGAGUAGCUGGGAUUACAGGCAUGUGCCACCAUGCCCAGCUAAUUUUUUUGUGUGUGUUUUUCAGUAGAGAUGGGGUUUCACCAUGUUGGCCAGGCUGAUCUCGAAUUCCUGACCUCAGGUGCUCCACCCGCCUCAGCCUCCCAAAGUACUGGGAUUACAGGGGUGAGCCACCGCACCCGGCCAAUUUUCUGUAUUUUUAAUAGAGACAGGGUUUCAUCCUGUUGGCCAGGCUGGCCUCGAACUUCGGACCUCAGGUGAUCCACCCGCCUCGACCUCCCAAAGUGCUGGGAUUACAGGUGUGGGCCACCACACCCAGCCAAUUUUUUUGUAUUUUUAGUAGAGACAGGGUUUCAUCAUGUUGGCCAGGCUGGUCGCAAACUCCUGACCUCAGGUGAUCCACCCGCCUCAGCAUCCCAAAGUGCUGGGAUUACAGGCAUGAGCCACCACUCCCGGCCAAUGUUUUGUAUUUUUAGUAGAGAUGGGGUUUCAUCAUGUUGGCCAGACUGGUCUCAAACUCUGGACCUCAGGUGAUCCACCUGCCUCAGCCUCCCAAAGUGUAGGGAUUACAGGUGUGAGCCACCGCGCCCAGCCUAUGUUUCUAUUUUAUACAUAUUCAACAAACAUGAUUCCCCAACUUCUGCAAAAUAAUUUCUUUUUCAAGAACAUUGAUUUUAGAGCUCACACUAAGAAAAAGAAUACAAAAAUAAUGGCAUAGAAAGUGAAAAAACAAAAAUAAAAAGUAGAAAGCUAAAGUUUCCCAUUAAAAUGAUCAAUAUACUGUGCAGUAAGUCAAAUGUGUACAAUGAAUUAAGAAAAUAUGAUAUAUAAAAAUCCAAAUUUACAAAAUUA